rnacentral:rRNA from 1 species
AAUACGUUCCCGGGCCUUGUACACACCGCCCGUCACACCACGAAAGUCGGCAACACCCGAAGCCGGUGGCCCUAACCCGUUAAGGGGAGGGAGCCGUCGAAAGGUGGGGGUUCGGUGAUUGGGGUG